rnacentral:lncRNA from 1 species
AAACUGCCAGACUCCUUUUUUUUUUCAAAAUAAUUGUGCUACAUUUUUUUCCCACUAGUAACAUUGAGAGUUCUGUUUGCUUUAUAUCCCUGCCAACAAUCUUUUCUGAUUUUUAUCAUUUGACUAGGUACGUAACAGUAUCUCAUUGUAGUUUUAAUGACAACUGGUGAUGUUGAGUGUUUUUUUGUUUUUGUUUUGUUGUUGUUGUUGAGCGUUUUUUGAUGUGCCUGGCCAUUUGCACAUCUUUUAUGAAAUGGUUGUUCCAGUGUUUUGUUGGAGUUUUUUUGUUUUUCUUCUCUCUCUCUCUCUCUCUCUCACACUCCUCUCAAGUUUUGGUCUCUACUAUCAUAGUUAUUAAAUUGUAAAAGUGACUGACUUCAAGGAAAUCACUGAUUUUCUGUUUCCCGAUUUGUAAGUAGCACUGGGGCUACAAGAAAUACCAAACUUGACUACUGCCCAUAGUGUCUUGGACACGUAAGAGCCCGAACAUGUCCACUGUCAUCCAAAGCAUGCAAGACCCAUGCCAGGAAGGAUGUGGGCGGUCCCCAGGAGAUGGGGGAGGGGUGGCAAACACAGAUAUGAAGAGAGGCAGUGGUCAGUAGCCCCGAAAGCAGCAGCAGAUGUCGACUGUCUCCUUGGGAGGAAGGAGAAGAAAAGGGAUGGAGAGCCCUCUGGCCCUGGAGCAGGAGAAAAUGGAAAUGUAGCAGAUGUAUAAGCUAAGCUGGAAGCUCUGCACAGAACUAGUUUGGGCCUGUCUCGGCAGGGACUUCUGCUUAUGAGUCUCCCUGCCUUACCUCCUCUGGCCAUAGCUUUGCACAGAACCAGCAGGCAAAGCACAAGUGGAGUCUGCAGAACCCAGUGGACUACAGAACGAGAGUUUGGAGGUAAAAGAUGAUAACAAACAAAUCUUACAGAAUGCAGUGACCUUGCAGACAAACAGGAACCUUUUUGGAAUAAGCUACCCAUCCUCUACUCACCCAGAAAUGGGAGCAGUAUCUUAAGAGCAAAUAGGCCAAAUGGCCACACUUCUGCCAUAUGGACUUCCCAGUUGCUAUUUCCUUUGUUGGCUCUAGCUCAAUGCCUCGGUAUGUAAGAGUUACUGCAUAUUCUGCUUUAUACUUGAUAUGAAGAGCCUUCUAAACUGAUAUGCAACUUUUGACUUAGUAACUUUAGAACCAAACCCCCAGCCCCUCAAUACUCACUGAAGUCAACCAUGGCUGUAGAAGAACCAGGGUACAGGUAGGCACAGGUUCCUUUAUAUCCUGCUGCCUCUGUUUACCAGCUGUCUAACUCUGAGGUUCCAGUUAAUACUCAGAGCUCCAGUUUCAGUUUAUGGAGCAUGAAUGAGAGCAUUGAGGUGCUUCACAUAGGUCUGCUGCAGGGCGAUCACUCAGUCUGUGGUAGCUGCAGAGGAUGUUACCACUGCUCUACAGUGAAAAGGAAAAAAACCCAAAAGACAAAGCAGAGACUAACAGUCUCAAAGCUUUGCAGAGACUGAUGGUCUCAAGGCUGACAGUCUCAUGGCUUGCCUUUCCUGCUAGACCCACCAAGGUCACUGUGCCCGAAAGAUGAACUGCUAAAACAGCAGCUGCCUGUACCUCCCUAUGUCUUAAAGAUAAACUGUAAAAGCAAAAUUUGCCUCCACCUCCCUACCUUUUGCCAAGUUCUGCUUCUGUAAAAUUCUGCUUGCCCUGCCCAAAGAACAAGAUAAAAACGGGGCUCAGACUGUGGAAAGUGACUUCUGCUGGGCCUGCUAGUGAAUAAACCCUGCCUCUCCCUACAGUUCUCUGAGUGCCGCUCUCUUCCUUGGUCUGCCUGCCCUCCAAGUGCUGUUUUACUAGUUAUUCUCAGACUUUGCACCAGGCACCAAAGGGAUCCCAGGGAGAAACUAUUCUGGUUACUGGAAGAGAGGGCUGGCAGGGGAGCAGAAUGGUGAGUGGCAGGUCUACACCACGACAGUUUGCUCUGAGCUCCCCAGAGUGCUGUGCCA